GGGGUGUGACUGCGUACCUUUUGUAUAAUGGGUCAGCGACUUAUAUUCUGUAGCAAGGUUAACCGUAUAGGGGAGCCGUAGGGAAACCGAGUCUUAACCGGGCGUUAAGUUGCAGGGUAUAGACCCGAAACCCGGUGAUCUAGCCAUGGGCAGGUUGAAGGUUGGGUAACACUAACUGGAGGACCGAACCGACUAAUGUUGAAAAAUUAGCGGAUGACCUGUGGCUGGGGGUGAAAGGCCAAUCAAACCGGGAGAUAGCUGGUUCUCCCCGAAAGCUAUUUAGGUAGCGCCUCGUGAAUUCAUCUCCGGGGGUAGAGCACUGUUUCGGCUAGGGGGCCAUCCCGGCUUACCAACCCGAUGCAAACUGCGAAUACCGGAGAAUGUUAUCACGGGAGACACACGGCGGGUGCUAACGUCCGUCGUGAAGAGGGAAACAACCCAGACCGCCAGCUAAGGUCCCAAAGUCAUGGUUAAGUGGGAAACGAUGUGGGAAGGCCCAGACAGCCAGGAUGUUGGCUUAGAAGCAGCCAUCAUUUAAAGAAAGCGUAAUAGCUCACUGGUCGAGUCGGCCUGCGCGGAAGAUGUAACGGGGCUAAACCAUGCACCGAAGCUGCGGCAGCGACACUGAUGUGUUGUUGGGUAGGGGAGCGUUCUGUAAGCCUGUGAAGGUGGCCUGUGAGGGUUGCUGGAGGUAUCAGAAGUGCGAAUGCUGACAUAAGUAACGAUAAAGCGGGUGAAAAGCCCGCUCGCCGGAAGACCAAGGGUUCCUGUCCAACGUUAAUCGGGGCAGGGUGAGUCGACCCCUAAGGCGAGGCCGAAAGGCGUAGUCGAUGGGAAACGGGUUAAUAUUCCCGUACUUGGUGUUACUGCGAAGGGGGGACGGAGAAGGCUAUGUUGGCCGGGCGACGGUUGUCCCGGUUUAAGCGUGUAGGUGUGUGUUCCAGGUAAAUCCGGUUCACUUUAACACUGAGGCGUGACGACGAGGCACUACGGUGCUGAAGCAACAAAUGCCCUGCUUCCAGGAAAAGCCUCUAAGCAUCAGGUAACAUCAAAUCGUACCCCAAACCGACACAGGUGGUCAGGUAGAGAAUACCAAGGCGCUUGAGAGAACUCGGGUGAAGGAACUAGGCAAAAUGGUGCCGUAACUUCGGGAGAAGGCACGCUGACACGUAGGUGAAGUGAUUUACUCAUGGAGCUGAAGUCAGUCGAAGAUACCAGCUGGCUGCAACUGUUUAUUAAAAACACAGCACUGUGCAAACACGAAAGUGGACGUAUACGGUGUGACGCCUGCCCGGUGCCGGAAGGUUAAUUGAUGGGGUCAGCGCAAGCGAAGCUCCUGAUCGAAGCCCCGGUAAACGGCGGCCGUAACUAUAACGGUCCUAAGGUAGCGAAAUUCCUUGUCGGGUAAGUUCCGACCUGCACGAAUGGCGUAAUGAUGGCCAGGCUGUCUCCACCCGAGACUCAGUGAAAUUGAACUCGCUGUGAAGAUGCAGUGUACCCGCGGCAAGACGGAAAGACCCCGUGAACCUUUACUAUAGCUUGACACUGAACAUUGAGCCUUGAUGUGUAGGAUAGGUGGGAGGCUUUGAAGCGUGGACGCCAGUCUGCGUGGAGCCGACCUUGAAAUACCACCCUUUAAUGUUUGAUGUUCUAACGUGGACCCGUAAUCCGGGUUGCGGACAGUGUCUGGUGGGUAGUUUGACUGGGGCGGUCUCCUCCUAAAGAGUAACGGAGGAGCACGAAG
rnacentral:rRNA from 1 species